rnacentral:misc_RNA from 1 species
GAUGAAGAACGCAGCGAAAUGCGAUAAGUAAUGUGAAUUGCAGAAUUCAGUGAAUCAUCGAAUCUUUGAACGCACAUUGCGCCCGCCAGUAUUCUGGCGGGCAUGCCUGUUCGAGCGUCAUUUCAACCAUCAAGCCCCCGGCUUGUGUUGGGGACCUGCGGCUGCCGCAGGCCCUGAAAACCAGUGGCGGGCUCGCUAGUCACUCCGAGCGUAGUAAUACAUCUCGCUCAGGGCGUGCUGCGGGUUCCGGCCGUUAAAAAAGCCUUAUUUACCCAAGGUUGACCUCGGAUCAGGUAGGAAGGCCCGCUGAACUUAAGCAUAUCAAUAAGCGGAGGA